rnacentral:tRNA from 1 species
AAAAAGAUAAGCUAAUUAAGCUACUGGGUUCAUACCCCAUUUAUGAGGAUUUUAGUCCCUCUCUUUUUG